rnacentral:rRNA from 1 species
UACGUAGGGGGCAAGCGUUGUCCGGAAUUAUUGGGCGUAAAGAGCUCGUAGGCGGCUCAGUAAGUCGGGUGUGAAAACUCCAGGCUCAACCUGGAGACGCCACCUGAUACUGCUGUGGCUAGAGUCCGGUAGGGGAGCAUGGAAUUCCUGGUGUAGCGGUGAAAUGCGCAGAUAUCAGGAGGAACACCAGUGGCGAAGGCGGUGCUCUGGGCCGGAACUGACGCUGAGGUGCGAAAGCGUGGGGAGCAAACAGG